AAUAUUGGUCAAUGGAGGCAACGCUGAACCAGCCACGUCGCGUGAAGGAUGACGGCACUACGGGUAGUAAACUUCUUUUAUACAGGAAUAAAGUGAGUCACGUGUGACUUUUUGCAUGUACUGUAUGAAUAAGGAUCGUCUAACUCCGUGCCAGCAGCCGCGGUAAUACGGAGGAUCCAAGCGUUAUCUGGAUUCACUGGGUUUAAACGGUGGGCAGGCGGAAGAUUAAGUCGGCGAUGAAAUUUUGCAGCUCAACUGUAAAAGUGCCAUCGAUACUGGUUUUCUUGAGUGUGGAUGAAGUAGGCGGAAUUUGUGGUGUAGCGGUGAAGUGCAUAGAUAUCACGAGGAACUCCGAUUGCGCAGGCAGCUUACUAGGCCAUAACUGACGCUCAGGCACGAAGGCGUGGGGAUCAAACA
rnacentral:rRNA from 1 species